rnacentral:rRNA from 1 species
UACAGAGGUCCCAAGCGUUGUUCGGAUUUAUUGGGCGUAAAGGGUGCGUAGGUGGCAUGGUUAGUCGGGUGUGAAAUCCCGGGGCUCAACCCCGGAACUGCACUCGAUACUGCCGUGCUCGAGUACUGGAGGGGAGAGCGGAAUUCCUAGUGUAGCGGUGAAAUGCGCAGAUAUUAGGAAGAACACCGGUGGCGAAGGCGGCUCUCUGGAACGGUACUGACGCUGAGACGCGAAAGCGUGGGGAGCGAACAGG